CCUACGGGAGUCAGCAGUGGGGAAUAUUGCACAAUGGGGGAAACCCUGAUGCAGCGACGCCGCGUGAGUGAAGAAGUAUUUCGGUAUGUAAAGCUCUAUCAGCAGGGAAGAAAAUGACGGUACCUGAUUAAGAAGCCCCGGCUAACUACGUGCCAGCAUCCGCGGUAAUACGUAGGGGGCAAGCGUUAUCCGGAUUUACUGGGUGUAAAGGGGGCGUAGACGGCAGCACAAGUCUGGAGUGAAAUGCCGGGGCUUAACCCCGGAACUGCGUUGGAAACCGUGGAGCUAGAGUGCAGGGAAGGUAAGUGGAAUUCGUAGUGUAGCGGUGAAAUGCGUAGAUAUUAGGAGGAACACCAGUGGCGAAGGCGGCUUACUGGACCGGAACUGACGUUGAGGCUCGAAAGCGUGGGGAGCAAACAGGAUUAGAUACCCGAGUAGUC
rnacentral:rRNA from 1 species